GGGCGUUUAGCUCAGCGGGAGAGCGCCUGCCUUACAAGCAGGAUGUCAAUGGUUCAAUCCCAUUAACGCCCACCA
rnacentral:tRNA from 1 species